rnacentral:rRNA from 1 species
UACGUAGGGGGCAAGCGUUGUCCGGAAUCAUUGGGCGUAAAGAGCGUGUAGGCGGUCCGGUCAGUCGGUUGUGAAAGUCAAGGGCUCAACCCUUGAAUGCCGGCCGAUACUGCCGGGCUAGAGUCCGGAAGAGGUGAGUGGAAUUCCUGGUGUAGCGGUGAAAUGCGCAGAUAUCAGGAGGAACACCGAUGGCGAAGGCAGCUCACUGGGACGGUACUGACGCUGAGGCGCGAAAGCGUGGGGAGCGAACAGG